UACAGAGGAUGCAAGCGUUAUCCGGAAUGAUUGGGCGUAAAGCGUCUGUAGGUGGCUUUUUAAGUCCGCCGUCAAAUCCCAGGGCUCAACUCUGGACAGGCGGUGGAAACUACCAAGCUGGAGUACGGUAGGGGCAGAGGGAAUUUCCGGUGGAGCGGUGAAAUGCGUAGAUAUCGGAAGGAACACCGGUGGCGAAAGCGGCGCGCUGGACCUCUUCUGACGCUGAGGCGCGAAAGCCAGGGGAGCAAACGGG
rnacentral:rRNA from 1 species